rnacentral:rRNA from 1 species
UACGUAGGGUGCGAGCGUUGUCCGGAAUUAUUGGGCGUAAAGAGCUCGUAGGUGGCGGGUCACGUCGGGUGUGAAAGCCCGGGGCUUAACUCCGGGUCUGCAUUCGAUACGGGUCUGCUGGGGUCCGGCAGGGGAGACUGGAAUUCCUGGUGUAGCGGUGAAAUGCGCAGAUAUCAGGAGGAACACCGGUGGCGAAGGCGGGUCUCUGGGCCGGUACCGACGCUGAGGAGCGAAAGCAUGGGGAGCGAACAGG